CUAUGGUCUGUAAAAUGAUCAUGGCAAAAGGAG
ncrna:Lactobacillus sp. ASF360 L31-Firmicutes ribosomal protein leader